rnacentral:rRNA from 1 species
AACGAACGCUGGCGGCAGGCUUAACACAUGCAAGUCGAACGCCCCGCAAGGGGAGUGGCAGACGGGUGAGUAACGCGUGGGAAUCUACCCAUCUCUGCAGAACAACUCCGGGAAACUGGAGCUAAUACCGCAUACGCCCUUCGGGGGAACGAUUUAUCGGGGAUGGAUGAGCCCGCGUUGGAUUAGCUAGUUGGUGGGGUAAAGGCCUACCAAGGCGACGAUCCAUAGCUGGUCUGAGAGGAUGAUCAGCCACAUUGGGACUGGGACACGGCCCAAACUCCUACGGGAGGCAGCAGUGGGGAAUAUUGGACAAUGGGCGCAAGCCUGAUCCAGCCAUGCCGCGUGAGUGAUGAAGGCCUUAGGGUUGUAAAGCCCUUUCACCGAUGAAGAUAAUGACGGUAGUCGGAGAAGAAGCCCCGGCUAACUUCGUGCCAGCAGCCGCCGUAACAC